GUACUGUACAGGUUUGUAGCCUAGGAGCAACAGGCUAUGCCGUAUAGCCUAGGUGUGUGGUAGGCAACGCCAUCUACGUGUGUAGUAGGCCAGAGCAUUUAGGUGUGUAGUAGGCAACAGCAUCUAAGUGUAUAGUAGGCUAGACCAUCUAGGUGUGUAGUAGGCAACACCAUCUAAGUGUGUAGUAGGCUAGACCAUCUAGGUGUGUAGUAGGCUAGACUAUCUAGGUGUGUAGUAGGCUAGACCAUCUAAGGGUGUAGCAGGCUAGACCAUCUAGGUGUGUAGUAGGCUAGGCUAUCUAGGUGUGUAGUAGGCUAGACCAUCUAAGGGUGUAGUAGCCUAGACCAUCUAGGUGUGUAGUAGGUUAGGCUAUCCAGAUGUGUAGUAGGCUAGACCAUCUAAGUGUGUAGUAGGCUAGACCAUCUAGGUGUGUAGUAGGCUAGACCAUCUAGGUGUGUAGUAGGCAACGCCAUUAAGAGUUUAGUAGGCUAGACCAUCUAGGUGUGUAGUAGGCUAGACCAUCUAAGUGUGUAGUAGGCUAGACCAUCUAGGUGUGUAGUAGGCAACGCCAUUAAGAGUUUAGUAGGCUAGACCAUCUAGGUGUGUAGUAGGCUAGACCAUCUAAGUGUGUAGUAGGCUAGACCAUCUAGGUGUGUAGUAGGCUAGACCAUCUAGGUGUGUAGUAGGCAACGCCAUUAAGAGUUUAGUAGGCUAGACCAUCUAGGUGUGUAGUAGGCUAGACCAUCUAAGUGUGUAGUAGGCUAGACCAUCUAAGUGUGUAGUAGGCUAGACCAUCUAGGUGUGUAGUAGGCUAGACCAUCUAGGUGUGUCGUAGGUGUGUAGUAGGCGACACCAUCUAGGCAUGUGUAACUCACUCUGUGAUGCUCGUACAAUGAUGAAAUCGCCUAACGACACAUUUCUCAGAAUGUAUCCCCGUUGUUGAUUGGUGCAUGACAGUAUAAGAUAUUAUUGUUUAAACAUGUAAUCAGUACAAAAUGUAUUCAUGAGCUGUUUUAAUCUCUUGUACUGAUUCUUUGAUAUCUGGUCUUUGAUAUCUCAUGUGUAUUUAACAGCACAUUUCAGUUUGGACCAGCCACAUUUCAAGUGCUCAGUAGCCACGUGUGCCUGGUGGCUGCCAUACUGGAGGCAUGGCUGUAUAUACACAUAGGCAGUGCUACGCCUCCCUCCACAAGCAGGGCUAAUGUCACACCCCAGAGCUUCACUAAUUACUCAUCCAGCUCACACUCUAUUUGGUGUGUAUUAGUGUUAUUAGAUCAAGAGCUUUAUUUCAUGCACCAUGAUGUAUAUUAACAAAUCGUAACUCAUGAAUUCACAAACCUGAAAUCAGAGGCCCAUGCAAACACAGGAAUUAGGCUUUUGUUCCUGAAGCAAUUUGUGUUCACUUCUUUCCGUGUACUUACCAAGCCUGGCAUUAGUUGUGUGAAUUUCCAUCUCCCCCAGGCCGCCCCCACUCUAAGCUUCUUGGAGGGAAAGUAUGUGUCUCUGGCUUCCUCUAUCCCAUUGGCAACCCCUCCCUGCACCCCAAGUGUCUGGCUUUCAGCAGGCCUUAGCAGGUAUUCAAUAGGUAUUUUUUGAAUAGACUCCAUUAACCAAAGGCAUCGGCUCCUCUUAGAAAGGAAGCAUAUUAUAAAGAAAAGGCUCUAAAGUCAGAUUAUGUAAAAAUGUGUUGAAAGGCACAGGGACAUCAAACGUAACCACUGAAUUGAAGUUUUUAUUCGAGUAGACAUGAAUCUGGCGGACAUGAGUACAGGGUUCCUGUGGAUGGGUGUGUGUUUGGGAGAAGAGGCAGGAACAGAAGUGUCUGGAAGUCUGUCACAAGCAUUUGAACAUAUGAUGAAAUAAGUCCUGCUCACCCCUCUGUGACAUGCUCCAGUCGGCUCCAAGGCCUCGUAGAAAGAUGGGGGGAUCCCUUGUUCCCAUCACUGCUCACUUCCUGGAUCAAUCAGACUGCACCACCCCUCCUGUGGACUUUGGUUACUGGGAGCCACAGGGCCUGAGGCAGCCACUUUAGAGAGCCGGUCUUGACCACCUAAUGGUGAGUGUGCGGCCAGGCCAGUCACAGGUGCUGUCUCAACUUGGGAUGUGUGUGUAACUCUGGGAGGAGUAGGGAUGGAUGGUCCACUUCUGGAAGUUCCCAGGGCCCCAACACCCAGGUUUUGCAGCCGUCUGCUAGUCUGCACUGUCUUUAAGAGGGAUCAGUUCUAGAUUCUCUUCCCCAUCCCAUCUGUGACUUGGCCCUCUUGGGCCUCCCUGGGGGUCAAUAGAGGAAAUACCUUCAACAGAUGGUGGAAAUGUGGGAGCAAGGUUGCCUCAAAAUAGUCAGGGUGAUUCGGCCUCAUGGGCAUAGUUCUGACAGUGCCAGCAUGGGACAGAUGAAGUCUGGGAGAGGCCAAGCCCUGAGGAUAGUCAGACACUUGGUAGGUUGUGAUAUUUGAGUUUAUUAAUAAGAAAGUAAUGGCUACCACUGACUGAAUGCUUAUUAGGUGCCAGACAAUUGACUAGGCAUUUUACCUGGAUUACUUUAUUUAAAUCUUAGAGCAUCCCUACAUCAUGGGUUCUGUCAUAGCUCCAUUUCACUAAUAAGGAGACAGAUGUGGAGGUUGGGGAGUUGGUCCCAGGUCACCCAACUGGGGAGGGCAGAGGUUGGGGAGGGACAGGAGUCAAUAACCCAAAGUCAUGAAAUGAGAAAGGAAGUAAACACUUGGAUGGAGAAUCACACACACACACACACACACACACACACACACACCUCCUAACAGGUAUGUUGUCUGCAACAAGGCAAAAAUAAUUCAUUAAUAUCUCAUUUAAACUUGAGGGCGAGGGAAUUCCUGAACCACCUCUCUGGAGCAAAUAAUGGAAAUUGGAAAUUGAUUGUCAUUUACCUUUGAGGAAGACUUCGGGAUGUGCCAUGUCUUUGGUAUAGGGCUGCGUGGUGUUGUGACGCAUGUGAAGAAAUACAUCCAAGGACCUUCCUAAGCUCAUCUGCAGCCACAAUUCCCCCACCCUAUUCUUCUCGUAGGGUUUUAAGUUUGCUGUCUGCAAAUGUUCCUCAUUCCGGAGUCUUUGGGAACCAAUCCACCUAGCUGGAGAAGGACAUCGUACCCUGGUAAUGAAGACAGGCAUAGAGAGGCACAGGGUUCAGGAGGGGACAGUCAGCACCGCAGGUGGCUCCGCAGCAGCUGACUCAGUGAUUGAGACGAGUUCCUGUCUCUGGUUUUGUUCGGCACAUCAGAGUCUGCGACUGAGCCUUUGGUCUGGAGUUUGAGCAAACUGGAGCUGAAAUUGCCUCGACAGAUACCUUGGAGCACUGACACCGCAGCACCAGCCCUGCUGUGGCCAGGAAGGGAGGGAGGGGACUGCCUUUCCUGUGUGUCUGUGGGUCACGGCCUUGAGUUAGAGCCCCGGGCCUCCUGCCCUGGGACGUGGAGGACCUUACACAGGUGCCUGAGGAACUAAAUGUUGAUCAAUGAAAUAUUUAUAACAAAUAAAAAAGUGGAAAAUAUUUCUCUGCUUUUGUAGUCUGAAUGGUAUAGUUGAAAAGACCCAGCUUUAAAAAUAAAAAGCUUGGGUCUUGGUUCUACCACUUACUAAUUGCAGGGCCUUGCGCAAGAUAACCUCUCUGGGCCUCAGUGUUUGCAUCUGUAAAAGGGGAAUAAUGUCACCCUUCUGUGGGUCGUAGGGAUGGAAAAAGAUGACACUGGAGGAAGCGCAUGCAUUCUCCUCUGCUCCUGCCGCCCGCUUCACCCAUUGGCUGGUGACUGAGUUUGGGAUUUUGACACUUAGUCUUUGUCCCAUUCAUGUGUCUAAGACCUAAUUUCUGGUGUUUGUAUAAGGUCAUUUUGUGGUCUCCCACUUGGAGUGGGCCCUCUGCCUUGGACCCAGGGGGACUGCUUGGACAUGUUUGAACAGCAAGAGAGUUUUGAGUCGCUGCAGGUAGAGCAUAAGUACCUGUGUCCACAUGUAAAUUUGCUCUCCCCUAGCAAUGGCCAUGAUCACCCAGGUGGAACAAUGGGG